rnacentral:rRNA from 1 species
AUGGUGGCGACGGGGCCUCGGUUGCCCUGCAUCUGCGUGGGGAACCCCGGAUCUGGAGCGGCGGCUCCAUUGGCAAGGCACGGUCGGCUAGCAGCCAUGCGGGCGGGUGGAUCUGGUGUCCCGGCCGCGCGGGCGGCAGGAUCCGGUGGUCAUUGGCGGUUGGCGGCGGCUUCUGCGGCGGUCGGUGCGCGCGAUCUGGCGCCUCCCCUCCUCCCCUGUUCGGCGUGCGGGCCAGCCUAG